AUUGAACGCUGGCGGCAUGCCUUACACAUGCAAGUCGAACGGUAACGCGGGGCAACCUGGCGACGAGUGGCGAACGGGUGAGUAAUACAUCGGAACGUGCCCAGUAGUGGGGGAUAGCCCGGCGAAAGCCGGAUUAAUACCGCAUGCGACCUACGGGUGAAAGCAGGGGAUCGCAAGACCUUGCGCUAUUGGAGCGGCCGAUGUCAGAUUAGGUUGUUGGUGGGGUAAAAGCCUACCAAGCCGACGAUCUGUAGCUGGUCUGAGAGGACGACCAGCCACACUGGGACUGAGACACGGCCCAGACUCCUACGGGAGGCAGCAGUGGGGAAUUUUGGACAAUGGGGGGCAACCCUGAUCCAGCCAUUCCGCGUGAGUGAAGAAGGCC
rnacentral:rRNA from 1 species